GAUGAACGCUGGCGGCGUGCCUAAUACAUGCAAGUCGAGCGAACGGACGCGAAGCUUGCUUCUCUGAUGUUAGCGGCGGACGGGUGAGUCACACGUGGAUAACCUACCUAUCUGACUGGGAUAACUUCGGGAAACCGGAGCUAAUCCCGUAUAAUAUUUUGAACCGCAUGGUUCAAAAGUGAAAGACGGCCUUGCUGUCACUUAUAGCUGGAUCCGCGCUGCAUUAGCUAGUUGGUAAGGUAACGGCUUACCAAGGCAACGAUGCAUAGCCGACCUGAGAGGGUGAUCGGCCACACUGGAACUGAGACACGGUCCAGACUCCUAAGGGAGGCAGCAGUAGGGAAUCUUCCGCAAUGGGCGAAAGCCUGACGGAGCAACGCCGCGUGAGUGAUGAAGGUCUUCGGAUCGUAAAACUCUGUUAUUAGGGAAGAACAGAUGUGUAAGUAACUGUGCACAGCUUGACGGUACCUAAUCAGAAAGCCACGGCUAACUACGUG
rnacentral:rRNA from 1 species